rnacentral:rRNA from 1 species
CAUAGCAAGGUGGUACCACUCCUUCCCAUCCCGAACAGGACAGUGAAACGCCUUCGCGCCGAUGAUAGUGGACGGACGUCUGUGAAAGUAGGUC